GAAAGGGGCAAGCGUUGUUCGGAUUUACUGGGAGUAAAGGGCACGCAGGCGGUCUUGCCAGUCAGGGGUGAAAGCCCGGGGCUCAACCCCGGAACUGCCUCUGAUACUGCAAGACUAGAGACUAGGAGAGGGUGGUGGAAUUCCAGUGUAGAGGUGAAAUUCGUAGAUAUUGGGAGGAACACCAGAGGCGAAGGCGGCCACCUGGACUAGAUCUGACGCUCAGGUGCGAAAGCGUGGGGAGCAAACAGGAUUAGAUACCCUGGUAGUCCACGCCGUAAACGAUGAGUGCUAGUUGUCGGGGACUUCGGUUUCGGUGACGCACGUAACGCAUUAAGC
rnacentral:rRNA from 1 species